rnacentral:rRNA from 1 species
GACGUAGGGGGCCAGCGUUGCUCGGAAUCAUUGGGCGUAAAGGGCGCGUAGGCGGUUUGGUAAGUCGGAUGUGAAAGCCCAGGGCUCAACCUUGGAAGUGCAUCCGGUACUGCUAAACUAGAAUCUCGGAGAGGGUGGUGGAAUUCCCAGUGUAGAGGUGAAAUUCGUAGAUAUUGGGAGGAACACCGGUGGCGAAGGCGACCGCCUGGACGAAGAUUGACGCUGAGGCGCGAGAGCGUGGGGAGCAAACAGG